AAUAGAUACCCGGGUAGUCCACGCCGUAAACGAUGAGUGCUAAGUGUUAGAGGGUUUCCGCCCUUUAGUGCUGCAGCUAACGCAUUAAGCACUCCGCCUGGGGAGUACGGCCGCAAGGCUGAAACUCAAAGGAAUUGACGGGGGCCCGCACAAGCGGUGGAGCAUGUGGUUUAAUUCGAAGCAACGCGAAGAACCUUACCAGGUCUUGACAUCCUCUGCCAACCCUAGAGAUAGGGCGUUCCCCUUCGGGGGACAGAGUGACAGGUGGUGCAUGGUUGUCGUCAGCUCGUGUCGUGAGAUGUUGGGUUAAGUCCCGCAACGAGCGCAACCCUUGAUCUUAGUUGCCAGCAUUCAGUUGGGCACUCUAAGGUGACUGCCGGUGACAAACCGGAGGAAGGUGGGGAUGACGUCAAAUCAUCAUGCCCCUUAUGACCUGGGCUACACACGUGCUACAAUGAAUGGUACAAAGAGUUGCGAACCCGCGAGGGUAAGCCAAUCUCAUAAAGCCAUUCUCAGUUCGGA
rnacentral:rRNA from 1 species